GACAGUUUGAUUAUGGCUCAGGAUGAACGCUGGCGGCGUGCCUAACACAUGCUUCUCGAGCGAGAAAUGAAGAGAAUAAACUUCGGUAGAUUUUCAUCAUGGAAAGCGGCGGACGGGUGAGUAACGCGUAGGCAACCUGCCCCGUACAGGGGGAUAGCCAUCGGAAACGAUGAUUAAGACCCCAUAAAGCGGAAUAUACACAUGUAAAAACCGUCAAAGAUUUAUCGGUAUGGGAUGGGCCUGCGUCUGAUUAGAUAGUUGGUAGGGUAACGGCCUACCAAGUCAACGAUCAGUAGCCGACCUGAGAGGGUGAACGGCCACAUUGUAACUGAGACACGGUCCAAACUCCUACGGGAGGCAGCAGUGGGGAAUAUUGCACAAUGGAGGGAACUCUGAUGCAGCAACGCCGCGUGAAGGAAGAAGGUCUUCGGAUCGUAAACUUCUGUCCAAAAGGAAGAAGGAAGUGACGGUACUUUUGGAGGAAGCCCCGGCUAACUACGUGCCAGCAGCCGCGGUAAUACGUAGGGGGCAAGCGUUAUCCGGAAUUAUUGGGCGUAAAGAGUGCGUAGGUGGUCACUUAAGCGCAGGGUUUAAGGCAAUGGCUCAACCAUUGUAUGCCCUGCGAACUGGGCGACUUGAGUGCAUGAGAGGAAAGUGGAAUUCCUAGUGUAGCGGUGAAAUGCUUAGAUAUUAGGAGGAACACCGGUGGCGAAGGCGACUUUCUGGACUGUAACUGACACUGAGGCACGAAAGCGUGGGGAGCUUACUGGAUUAGAUACCCUGUUAGUCACGCUGUAAACGAUAAGCACCAGGUGUCGGGUCGCAAGACCUCGGUGCCGCAGUUAACUCUUUAAGUGCUCCGCCUGGGAGUACGUCCGCAAGAUAUAAACUCAAAGGAUUGACAGGGGACCCGCACUAGCAGCGAACAUGUGGUUUAAUUCGAAAGCACGCGAAGAACCUUACCUGGACUUGACAUUCUUCGGCGUACCCGCAAAAGGGUAUUUCUACGGAAAAAAAAACCUGGGGUCAUGAUGGUCGCCUCUCCUGUCUGGGAUGGUGGGCUAGGUCCCGCACAGCGUAUCCCUGACUUUAGUGCCUCUAUUAGGUAGGACCUCUGAAGGGAUGGCCCGGGAAAUUCGAGAGAAGGUGGGAGUGACUUCUAUCUCUGGUCCUUAUGUUCCGGGCCUACACCAGUCAUCAUCGUGGCCCGUGUACUACACUAGUGAGCGAGCAAUAAAUA
rnacentral:rRNA from 1 species